rnacentral:rRNA from 1 species
UGAGUAACCUGCCCUUAACUCUGGGAUAAGCCUGGGAAACUGGGUCUAAUACCGGAUAUGACUCCUCAUCGCAUGGUGGGGGGUGGAAAGCUUUUUGUGGUUUUGGAUGGACUCGCGGCCUAUCAGCUUGUUGGUGAGGUAACGGCUCACCAAGGCGACGACGGGUAGCUGGUCUGAGAGGAUGGCCAGCCACAUUGGGACUGAGACACGGCCCAGACCUCCGUACGGGAGCAG